rnacentral:misc_RNA from 1 species
UGACCGCAUUAUGUUCACGCC